UACGUAGGGUGCAAGCGUUAAUCGGAAUACUGGGCGUAAAGCGUGCGCAGGCGGUUAUGUAAGACAGGUGUGAAAUCCCAGGGCUUAACCUUGGAACUGCAUUUGUGACUGCAUAGCUAGAGUACGGUAGAGGGGGAUGGAAUUCCGCGUGUAGCAGUGAAAUGCGUAGAUAUGCGGAGGAACACCGAUGGCGAAGGCAAUCCCCCUGGACCUGUACUGACGCUCAUGCACGAAAGCGUGGGGAGCAACAGG
rnacentral:rRNA from 1 species